rnacentral:sRNA from 1 species
CUGGCAGUCCUGGUAGUGGAAGUCCUCUCUUAAUUGACAUAAUAGAUACAGCACAAACAAUGGCAAUGCAAGCUGCUUCACAUUUCCUUGCCAAUCUGCCUCAACCUUGACUUGGAAAGGCCACUUCUAGAAGUGACAGCAUUAGUUCACCUCAACACCAAUUCAGUACUUGGCCAUU